rnacentral:tRNA from 1 species
GGAGAGGUGGCAGAGUGGUUGAAUGUGGCGGUCUCGAAAACCGUUGUGCGCGCAAGUGCACCGAGGGUUCGAAUCCCUCCCUCUCCGCAA